GACGACCGCUGGCGGCGUGCUUAACAAAUGCAAGUUGAACGGAAAGGCCAUGCUUUUGUGGGGUGCUCGAGUGGCGAACGGGUGUGUAACACGUGAGUAACCUGCCCUUGACUUUGGGAUAACUUCAGGAAACUGGGGCUAAUACCGGAUAGGAGCUCCUGCUGCAUGGUGGGGGUUGGAAAGUUUCGGCGGUUGGGGAUGGACUCGCGGCUUAUCAGCUUGUUGGUGGGGUAGUGGCUUACCAAGGCUUUGACGGGUAGCCGGCCUGAGAGGGUGACCGGCCACAUUGGGAAGUAGAUACGGCCCAUACUCCUACGGGAGGCAGAAGUGGGGAAGAUAGCACAAGGAGCGGAAGCCUGAUGCAGCAACGCCGCGUGCGGGAUGACGGCCUUCGGGUUGUAAACCGCUUUCGCCUGUGGCGAAGCGUGUGUGACGGUAAUGGGUAAAGAAGCACCGGCUAGCUACGUG
rnacentral:rRNA from 1 species